UGGAUCCUGAUCAGACUGCGCGGUUGCGCAGGCUGGUCUAGAUCCAUGCUGGUCGAAAACGCAUUAUGUUGGUUUUGUCAUGACGUGGCUCAUUUAUAUAGACAUCUACGGUAGUACCAGUGACUACAGACCGACCUUUCACGUUCAUUGAGGACAACAGGAACAUUGCAUGGCUAACAGUGGUUCUUACAUUCGGCGUGUUGUUGCUAGUUAUUGUCUGUGGUUUUAUGAUGAUGUACAGUAUCCAAAUAAAAAGGUUUAGAUGGUGUAUACCCUGGUGCCGUAAACGUCUUCUAGGAUUGAAGAGUAUGACAAGAAGAGAAAAGAGAAGGUACUACCGUGGUCUACUGCUGCAGAAGAGAUGGAUGAGAUGAAUGAAGACUCUGAUGAUGAUGAAGAUGUUACAACUGCUCUCCAACACAGGGAGGAUGAUGACGACGAGACAGCAGCGCCACCUAUGAUUGUGGGCGAGACUCAAAGCUAAAGGGGAAUUUGUAGCACGUGGUCCUACAGUCAGGAAAGCUGGUGUCCCUCGAGCAGCUGUAUACGAUGAGCCCAAACCACAACUCAAGAAAGAAACGUCGAAGAAAUUGAUGAAAUCUGAUUCAGAUUUUUGGAACAGUUAAAGAGGUACAUUAUAGAGGAAUCAAGUAAACGCAGACAAAA